rnacentral:lncRNA from 1 species
GAUUACACAAUGAUGAUAGAGUAUGAUGGGUUAUGAUGAAGAAAUAUGGAAGACAGGCACUGGUCACAGACUUGAGUGUGAGCCAAAGUUUCCCAAAGUUCAGAAUGUCUAAGUGAUGAAGAAGAAAGGGCAGGGAGCAAGCAGUUAGAAAACCUGAGUUUGGAGAUGAUGUGCUGUGAGAUCUUGAGUAAGUCAUUACACCU